rnacentral:RNase_P_RNA from 2 species
AGCGUCUCGCGUUUACCCGCCUACAUACGUAGCGGUCUUUUAGGCUGCUAGCCAACUAAUGCGGGUGGGAAAUUCGGUGGUUCUCCCCAUCCACAUGGUAGGGGCCGCUAGCGGCUUAUCCCUACUGUGCCUAUCGAUGUAUGUGAAUAUUCCUCGGCGCGAAAGCGCUGGGCAGCGCCAUCAGAAAAUAGCCGGUGAGAAAUUUCCCCAGGGAAUUUCUCGCUGGCGUGGGAGGCGCUGCGGAUGGUUGGUCCUUCAUAGAGAGGAAGGGCUGUUGAGUGCAAUAUGCGAGCAAUAAGCACCCGAUACCGAUCAUCGCU